CUCGCCCGAUACACCCUCCCCUCCUCCUCUCUCCCUCCCUCCCUCUCCUCCAUUAGGAUUCAGUUGAGGGUUCGGCUCCGUGAGUAGGUUAGCCAUGCGUGUCGUGGCGAGAUGCAGUGAAUGAUAAUGAACUAUGCAAAUGUGUGUGUGUGUGUGUGUGCAAGGGAGGAGGUGGCGCUCCUGCUGUAUCGCUCCCUCCAUCCAUCCUUCCACCCAUUCCUCCUCCACCUCUUACUCGUUGGUGGUGUGUCAGCUGGAAGGACGGCCCCCGUGCUCUGACACACUUGCACUCACGCUGAAACACACACCUCCGCUAUGUGUCACUACCCAUUCCACCUGCCUCUCGCUGUCAUUCCCCGCUCUCCGCUCCAUCUACCUACGCUUGCUCGUUUCCCUCCUUUUUUUGUUUUUUGCUUUUUUUGCUCUCUCUGUCUUUCUCUCCACCCUUCCUUGUUCUCAUCCUCACCCCAUCCCCCCCAUACGCUGUGUGUCACCGCCGCCAGGAAGAAAAAGACAAAUGCCCCGGCCAACGAAAGUGAUAAAGAGAGAAAGAGGAGGAAAGGGAGAAAAAAAAGAGCAGAAGAGGAGAAGACCGCGGAAGCUGGAGUGUGCGCUUGAAACGCGGCAGCGUUCCAUCCAUCCACCUUGAGCCCGACUCUUCUUUGAUGGAAUACCCCGGGACAGCGGAGGGCAGAAGAAGGGAAAAGAAGGAGAAGAAAAAGUGGAGGUGAAGGAGGACCGGGAGAAGAACACAAGGACUGAGAAGGCAGGACGGACAGCGCUCGCCUCAGGAAGGGUCUACGUGGAGGCGGUGCGGCGUCGAUAGGCCAUGCCCUUCACUUGCGCCUGCUUCUGCGGUCUGAACGGCUUCUGCCGCAGGCGGGAGAAGAAGAAGAAAAAGGAGCAAGUGGAGGAGGAGGGUGAGGAGGUGGAGCGAUUGAAGGAUCAGGAGACGGUGGUGUGACGGCAGCGCCGUCCUCACCUUCCUCAGGGUUUUAUCCUUUAUCCUUUAACAGACUGGAAUGUACGCCACUUGGUUACCGCUGCUCAGCACAGAGAGCAUGCAUGAGGAUACUUUAACAGGGAUGGUUGGGGGGGUUCAGCGGGCACAGGCUUUUAUCGGAAAAUUCAUUUUAAUUUGAAAACAGAAAACCGUUUCUGUGACUAAGGCUUCAAGGUUUGACGUAUUUUUCUACUUUUCGAGCUGAGUAAACUCAACAACAGCAAUGCCGUCUCAAGCCAUAUUCCUCAAGAAAAAAAAGCCUGUAAACUGAGCUCAUUCCCCUCACCCAUCCUUGCUGAACUCUAAUCAGCAGACUGGGAACUUUGCUUCUGCUGAUGUGAUUCCAAAAAGCAUUUCUUAUCUGUUUGAUCCAUUUCUCGCCAGAGCUGGUGUACUGUAUCAGGUGCGAAGAGACGACGGGCCCUAGAAAUCCAUUAUUUCCCCUCGGUCACACUCCCUCAGCGAGGCCGCGUCCCUCCCCUCUCCCCCGUAAUUGCCGCUCCGCAAUUCUCCUCCUCACCUAGCUGCUUGUGUUAAACCAACUUAGCAGAAACUUCAGCCAAGUGAAAAAAAGUGCAUAGUAAUUUCCAAAGUCACCCGUGGAGGGCUGGGAGCCCCAUUUCGGCUUUCACGCCUGAGCUGGGCCCGAUCGAAAGUGGAGCAGCUGUCCAAUCAGCGGCUUAGCUGGAGUGUGAAGAUCGGAGUCAAGGGGUCAGGAUCAGCAACAGGGCUUUGCGCGAAGUCCCUCCUCUGAUGCUGUAGCGUCUCCGUCUCAUCAAUAGGCAGACAAGUAAUUGCAAAACACACACACACACACACACACACACCGAUGCGGGCCUAUCCGUUAAUGUCCCCCUCGGUGGGAGUGGAGUGUCUGUCCUUAAAUGCCACCACGGUGCGAUUCCAUCUGUCGCCCGUGUGCGAGCGCGUGACUCUGGAAGCGCGCGUGUGCGUGCUUGUGUAUCUCCCCGGCUGCAACAAUAGACUUUCAAAACCUGAAACAAGUGGCCAAGAGAUCUAUUCAGCUGCCGUAGAACGGCCUUUUCACGAUCGCACAUCGAGACACAAACAAACACACACACACACACACACACACACACACACACACACACAGGUCUCAUUAGGCGCAUGUGAUUAUGCGCGGCACGUCCGGUCGUGCGGCAGAGAUGUAAUUAACCUUUUCCGGCAGGAAACAGAUGCCUGGAUGUCACGCGCAACACACGCAAUGACGAUACGCGCACGCACAUACACACACGUCUGCUGUCAGGGAAACAAAGCCGACGUCACGGUGUCACAGGGAAACAAAGCCCCAAAAGCGCCGCCUGGCACUCUGUGAUAAUCCCCUCACGCGUAUUUACAUUCAGGGUUUAGAAUACGCCUCGGUGCCGCCGACACCCAGCGUUUCACUCCGCUACAACCCCCCGCCUGCCUCCGCUCAUCCAUCCUCUCUCUCUCUCCUCUCCGUCUACCUUCCAUCACAUUCGUCCUUUGCCUCCUGCUAUCUCUUCCUCUCUUCCGUCAUUUACAUCCCAUCCCGAAAAACUCUCUCCUUCGCGGGACUUGAUCUGUUUGCCGUCAGUAUAUCGUACGCGCCCUUGCAUGGCAUCACCCGCAGAUUAGCCCCCCCACACACACACACACUCCCUCCCUGAAUAUCGGGGAUUUCUUCAAGCAGCCCAAAAAAAAUGCUUUACGACAGAUUAAUGGACGGUCCCGAUUGCGUCCGUCUGUGCUUCUGCACCGGAUUGGAUCGUCUGUUUACUCAUUCUCUCGCUGCACGCGGCGAGACGAGACAAAGCUUACGCCAUUUCACAGUGCGGAGCACCUAUUAUGAUUCACUGUGUUACGACGCGGCCCUAAUGAGAAAGAGAGAGAAUGAGAAGAGGGGCUGGAGGAGGAUAGGGGAGGAAGAGAGAGAGAGAAAAGACGGUAAUGAGAGCGAGGGCUGGAUACGGACGAGGGGGGCUAAUGCUAGACAGAGCAGUCAUGCUAAUUGGCUACAGUGGAUAACUUUCUGAGGCGGGGGUGAGUGUGUGUGGUGAUGCGGCGGGGGUGGGAGGGGGGGCAGAGAAAAGAACAGCCUGAUCUGUCGGCGUUACACUCGUUUAACGCUCCCUCCAUUUCACUUCUUUAAUGAGAGAAAUAUUCGCUCCAGUAAUGGCGAAAGAAUUGAAAUUGGUAACGAUUUGUUGCUCACACACACACACACACAUACACACACACACACACACACACACACUCCGAGGUGGCAAAGGGGAAGAGGGGGGCUGUAGGCAGGAUAUUGUUGGUGUAAAGUGUGUGUUUUCCCCCUCAAGCACCACAAUCCAGUCCUUUAUGGAUCAUGGCAAUUUUCAGGGAUUGUAACUCAAGGACAAACAGCUAAAAAUAGAAAGAGUGGUGCAUGACUCCUGCGACAGCGGGGAGGGAAGGUGGGAGGAGGUGUGUGUGUGUGUGAGUGAGAGUGUGUGCGGGUCGGACGGCGAAAAUGAGUCCUGUCGCAUUAGAUUUGGGUCAGAAAACGAGGGGGAAAGCCGACGAAGUGGAGUGUCGCAGACGGCGGUGGAGAUUCAUCACUCGCUGCUCGCGCUCGUCUCCUUCAACACAGAGGGUCCGUUCCCCGUUUAAAGGAAUAGGUUUUCAGAAAAACGCUUAUUUACCUUCCUGUCCUCAUUAGUUGAGAGGAACGAUACCUGUAGUAUGUUACGCGUUGGGGGAAAUGGGAAACAACUAGCUUAGCAUAAAGAUGGAACUCUUGGCAAGACAGCCAAUAAGCGUAUUUCCCAAAAUGUCAAACUAUGCCUUGAAUCAAGUGGGUAGUGUGUUGGUUUAACUUCUGUAUUACAUAAGAGAUUGAGCCACAUAACCCUGUCGAUGAAAGCGCCCCGCUCAAGGAAAUAUAACCUCCUCAUCACAAGCCGUGUUUCCAAUCACUUGUCAAGCGAAUUUUAAGAAAACGUAUGAAAUGUCGCAAAAAAAAAGAAAUGGGAAUUAGGCACGUUUGUCAACUGGUUUGGGUAAUGAGUGCGAUGAGGGGGGCUAAUGCUAGACAGAGCAUACUUUGAUCAGAAGUUGGGACCAUAGACCAAGCAUGGCCGUGAUCUGUCAGUGAACAAAGUAGAAGAAGAAACAAAACCAUUUACCAGCAUCAUCUAACCAUCUACGAUAGUAAAAUGGAGAGUUCUGAAGGAAUUUGUUUCAAUUGGGCCAGUUUUAGUUGUUCUUUCAUGUAUGCUAGUAUUGGCCCUGUUUCAUGUCCAGAGAAGACAAUAUAAAUAUACAUCCGUGAACGAAAGAAACAGCGGAUUAGUCAUGUGAGUUAAAUGUUUGCUUUGUCCGAAUUUAAUCGGCAAAGGCAUUUUUUCAUAUCCCGUUGACUCGUUGAGACAAAAAAACACCUCAAAUAAGCGCCAAAACGUUGCAAAGUUAUAUGGAAAUCUGCCGUUUACAUACAGCUUUUCGAAUGUGAUACUUCAACACUUCAACACCGAAUGGCUUUUGAGUAGUUCAGUCUCACUCAGACACCCAAAUCCUACUGCUGCAACUGCCACCAAGUGUCACUGCCUACAUUUUGAAUUUGGGGUGAAGGGCAAAUAGGUUCAUGACAAUGCUAGUACCUUUCUUCAGGGAAUGGAACCCUCAAUCCUUACAUUACUGUUGCUGCAGCACUACACAACUCUUUUUCCCUGCCGUGCAUCAGACGGUUGUCCCUCCAUUGACAUUAUCCUUGCCUCACCCACAUCUGUUCUGGUUUUCCUAAUGAAGAGGAAAGAGAAGGUCCCACCAAGGCUAAUUAAGAGGACUGAGAUGCAGGCAUGCCGACAGACUGCCGAUAGAGUCAGGAGGGAAGCGCUGAGAGCUCCCUACCAGCCCUGGAGCAUCAGAGGAGGGAAUGGGGAAAAGGGAUGCAGAGAGAGGAAAUAAAAACGAGCGGAGGAAGAGGAGAGAGAGAGAGAUAUAUAGUGUAAUUGAGACUGUAAAGGGUUUUGUCAGAAGCACCUGUCAGGGUCAAGUUAAAACGACUGGUGCGGGAAGACGAGAGGGAUGGGGGAGCGGAGAAGGGGGGCCAAUUGGAGUCAGGAUCCCGGCGAGGAGAGGCCCUCGUCCAUGCCAACCUCACCUGAUUGCCAAUUUGUGCCAGUCCACAGACAUCAAACGGCCAAUACGAGUCACACGCAGACACAAAAAGCGCCGAUACGCAUCCAAUCUCACACACACACAUGUCCGAACUCACACUGUCAACCCACCUACGCCGGUUGAUUGGACCCAUCUAGCCACUUAACAAGGUGUCCGCGGCGCAGACCUAAGCCGCGUGAUUGGAAGAUAAAGCCGCCACCGUUAAAUAUCUAAUUCUCCCCCAACGUCUAGAUGAAAAUAAGGUGCAGCGCUGAUUAGAUUACAGCCUGCUGUGCCAACCUCGGAUCUGCGCCAUGUUCAUUACUAGCCCUCAACCCUCCCCCCGCCAACCCAGGCCAACCCUAUCUCCGUUCAUGUCCUUCUGCCAACCACAAAUACUCUAUUUUGUGAUGGAAAAGCAAUUCUGACACCCUCGAGAGUUGAGGUCGAUGCCUGAGGAGUGAUGAAAUUAAGUUGAGUGAAAUUUAUUUAUAAAUCGCUGUUUAAGCUGCACCUGGCAAAUUGAACAUGUUGACAGCCCCCCGGACGCCAGCGAGACGUAACUGAUUGAAAUUUAGGACCGCUGCGAUGAGAAAUUCUGUUAGGGGCGGUGUCAGUGAACGCCCCCCGCUCUUGCUCCGGAGAGGGUGGAGGUGAUGAAGAGGAUCAGGCAUCACCCUCUGGGGGCAAAGUUCUCACGUGGUGCUGUUUGGGGUUUUACCUUUUUAAUUCAAUUCCGUCGAACAUGUUUGCUGCCAUCAAACAUUUUGACAGCAGAGUUUCAUUAAGGCAAACAGUAAAAACCCCAAUGUUUUCUCCUUUGCUGAUAGCUUAAAAAAAACCAUUGCAUCCUAGAAGUCCAAUAAUACGACUUACCCUCCGAGCCACCCGAAAUUAUGACAUCAUCAAGGUUGUUUUUUCCAGACUUUAGAAAGAGAGCCACAGCAUCUACAAACUGUUUUAAGUGCCCCUUAAAAUCAAGUAUAAUUAAAAAACACUGACUUUAUUUGCACUACUUAUUGCUGUCUGUAAAUACUCCCCAGGAACAUUUACGGGACACUUUGUGGAAUGUAAUCUGGUUCACUGGCACGGUUUGGGUUCCCAAGCGAUUUUUCUUCAUAGUCUCAAGUGUCAGAAUUUAAUACGAGUAAUGAGAACACUUUUCUUCUUCUUUUUUAUUUUUUUAAACCAGCAGCAGAGUCAGCAGCAACUCUGCCAGCAGAAUUCCCACUCUAUGUCCAAUUUAUGUGUUUGAACGCUGAAACUCUCCCGGAGGCUUCGGUCUUAGUGGGCUGAAGGUUAGAGGAGAUGCACAAAUCGAGAUGGACAUCAUAUUUUUCUCAUCUCCUCAACAUCCACUCAACUCUUCAACAACUUCUGCAGCUGCUUUAGGCUAUCGCCACCUUCAGCUAUUUCAUACCGUCUCAAAAGGAGGGGAGGGGAAAAAAAGUAUAUUGAGCUGUGUUUUGAUCAGAUAAAAACUUUUCUAAUUGGCGUGGGGGCUGUAAACAGGUCGUAUCUGAUGCCAAAAACAUCAUCACCAAAUAAAUCAAUUCCUCUCCUUUUUUUUUCCUCAGCCUUUUCUCUUCAUCCUGCUCCACCUCCUGUUCUCUCUCACCCUCUCUCCCCACAUGCACACUCCCACUUCCACUGGUCGAUAGUGGAGCGGGUAUCGAGCAGUGGCUGUGGUCUAAAUGAGAGAUUGAUUUCUCUAGGGGGCCGGGGGUGUGACCAUGGUGUUUGAGUCACCGUCAGAGACCUCUUCGCCAAAACGCUCGCUGAUGGAGUGUGUGUGUGUGUGUGUGCGGGCCACUGGCGCACGCUUUAAACACCUUUUGAUUUAGUUGUGCUCAAGAACAAUACUUUUCAUUAGAGGCUGAUAGCAUUCAUUAGGAGCAAUACAGCGGGGCCGCUAAUGAGCCCAACACUUUGUUCUCCUUGAGACAAAGAAGCGUGGCAUGAACACGCGCAGGAAGACAACACUUGUCCUGAUUGCCAGCUUGAGUUGAUUCUCAGAACCGUCGGUUCAUCAGAGCUCUUCGGAAGCGAAAAAAGGGCAGCCAGGCGUUUGAGCCCCAUUCAUAACGUUUACUGAGCCGCUAAUAUCUAUGUGAACCAACAGAAAAAGCGAGCACCCCCCCAUACAAAGCCACUGAGCACAUAGCAGAAAACGAGUCUGGCGCUUUCCAAAAUCCGCAUGUUAGAUGAGUCCGCACUUUGACCUUGUUCGACGGGAUUUGUGUUUGUCGCUUGUGGCGUGGUGCGUAAAUUCUUCCACCCCAACCUGUUAGCCUCCCGCGCACGCUGCCGCCCGACGACACACACGAGCAGCGGGCCCGUCCGUCGGCGUGUUCGGAUGUUUUGUAUUAUUCAUAUCUCUGGGCCUUUUGUGGCCCAGGGGGAACAAGGCGAAGCAGAAAACACAGAGAGAGAGGAGAACGGAGGAGGACCAUUUGGCGGAAUAGCAUCGACGAGCGGUGAGAUACAUAAACAUGAGGUCAGAGCAGUGGGAGACGGAGAAGGAAGGAGAAAGGGCGAGAGGCAGAAAGUGUGUGUGGGGGGGGGGGGGGGCAGUUGACAAGCUCUUGCUCCGUUCCAGAAAAACCAACCGAUCAAUGCUAUGGCACGGCAGGGCACACACACACGCUCACACACAUAAACCCUGCAAGGUACUGUGUGUGUGUGUGUGUGUGUGUGUGUGUGUGUGUAUUUGUGUGGAGGAUGUGCUAGUGGUCCGCGUGCUGCAGGAGAAUGUUUGAAAUGCAGAGCACGUCAAGAGUCCUAGGGAGCUUAUUUUGCAGCAAAGCCUCAUUAAAUAGACACUUGCCUUAAAGCAAGGAUAUACUGCCAGGACCACACACACACACUAUGCACAUACACACACGCUCAACACCAGCACCAGAGAUUCUCUCAGGCAACGGAAAGCGACGCACACAAGAGGCUUCAGACAUAUUGAAUAGAAAUCUCUGUGGAGAAAUAAAAAACGCGGUGGAGUAAAUGUCCCCCACUCCUUAUUCCCCCCUGUUUCCUCAUAUGAAUAAAGUUGAAUCCAUCCACAACAUCACCCCCCACCCCCCUCCUAUCUCACACUAAUAUUGUAUUCAUGUAUAUUUGAUUGUGCCGACUCGGUGGAGAUCGGCGAUGCUGUAUCUUGUGUGCCUUUUUAAAAAUGCAUCUAUGAAUAAAUAAUGUCUGUAUCCGCUGAUUGAGAAAAAAUAAAAAAAAGCCAUAUUGCCAGAAAGCCAUGAUGAAAUGAUAAUGUAAUAUCUGUCGCCCGUGUUGAAUAAAACCUUUGUUUAUUUUAUUUUUAUGUUAUUCUCACUCAGUAAAUGAAACCUGCAGCUUUGCACAUGAUGACGUUCCCCUUGUACGGUUUGCCACUGAGUGUGUGUUUUAAUAAAGAGAGCGCCUCUUUCUAUA